ACCACCCCAGCCAGCAUGGCCGGCAGGAGCGCACCGCGCUGUCUCCCUCCAGGGAUCCGCACCGCCCUACAAUCCUGCUUUGUGCUGAGAUUGUAGUCCUGCAGGCGUACAACUAACAAGCUGGGUGCAGAUAAGAGACUACAGCUCCCCGCAUCCCAAGCAAAGGUCCCUCCUCUACGGAGCCCCUCCACGCGUCCACUGCGGUUCCGCCGUGCCAAGGGGAGCUUGGCUGUUCACGGGCCUCACCUGCUAGCGAGAAGAUAGCUUGGCCGGGCGGCUGAUCUCACCUUGUAAUUCUGACACUGUGUCUCCCGGGCUUGUCGGCUUCAUGACUUGUGCCCAAAGUUUGAUUUCUCGCAGACCAGGAGGACCCAUUGGACCCCCGGGCUGGCUGCAGGGCCCACACCUGGGUUAGACCUCGCACAGGGACGCUGCUGCCACUGUAAUAAAGCGUGCCUACACGCUUCUGAAACUGGUGUAGGAACAACCUCAGUUCUGUGAAAGGCGGACGCAGCAGGACAGAAUCUCCGUGGACAUCUGUCUGGAGGAGCAAUUUUACUGCGACAUUUUAAAGAAACAAAUUUAAUUGAUUUCCAAGGGUGUCCAUCGCGCUUCCUUCACUGCCUUGAUCAUGUCGGGGUCACCACCUGCGGGGGUUUGUCCUGCAGACCCUGACUCAACGACGGAUGAAUAAUGUACACUGACACAGAUCUUAUGCUUGUCAGUCCUGCUGAGCAUCCAGGCCACUUACAGACUCCAAGAAGAGUCCUGUCAGCCACGGCUCUGACUUGUUGGCCCUCCCGGCAUUUAUUUAGCACACAUUUAAUGACAGAAGUCUCAGGUAUUCAAAUGGGAGAGACUCUUGACUGACACCAGGCAUUCUAAUGAGAGAGACUCCAGGAAGAUCCAGGCAGUCUAAUGAUAAAUAUACCUGGGCGAACCCAGCCAUUCUAAUUGGAGAGACUUCUGGCUACCUCAGUCAUUCUAAGGCUGGAAACACUCUUUUUGUAGAACAUACAAAUGGACAUUUCUAAGCACAUUGAGGCCUAUAAUGAAAAAUCAAAUAUCCCACAAUGAAAACUAGAAGGAAGCUAUCUGUGAUAAUGCUUUGUGGUGUAUGGAUUCAUCUCACUGACUGAAACCUGAGUUUUGAUUCACCAGGUUGGAAACACUCUUUUUGUAGAAUGUAUGAAGAGAUAUUUCUGAGGCCUGUUGUGAAAAACUGAGGUUUCCACAAGAAAAACUGGAAACAAGUUAUCUGAGAAAAUGCUUUAUGAUGGGUGAAUUCAUCUCACAAAAUUAAACCUUCGUUUUGAUUCAAAA
ensembl:lncRNA LINC00662 long intergenic non-protein coding RNA 662